ACUUUAUGAUUUGGGCAUUGCAUAAGUUUGUCAUUGAACCUUUUCCAUACCUUAUAUAAGGGCUCACCACUAAGUUGAUAAAAAUUUAUGAUUUUAUCUCUUAGUU
rfam:Capsicum annuum cultivar Zunla-1 chromosome 6, whole genome shotgun sequence